rnacentral:lncRNA from 10 species
GCCGUCUUAGGUUAGGCCACUGAAGUUCUCCAGCAACGAGGUAGUCGGCAGUCAAGAGAGAAGCUUCCGAGGGAAAGUAGCCCUUAACUAUGGAUAAGGAACGUUUGCAUUUUAGUGAAGUGGAUGGCCCAAAGCCAUGCUUUCUCUGCCUUCAGGUUUGAAAUUCUCAACAUUUACAAAGAUAUUGGGGGCAAAAGUUAUCUCCUCCUCUGAUUAUCAAUGAGUAGUUUCUCUGAAUUCAUAGUCCACAGGAAAAUCUCAAAUGACUUUGACAAAAUCACCUGAGAAGGGUGAAUAAAGAAGGGUGACUGAAGACACGCCACAGCCCACACUCCCCCACACCAAGUCACUAGAAAUGACAGAAAAUAAUUUUAAAUAAGUGAAUUGGAAACAGUGAAGGUAAAUAAAGAAAGGCAGCAUCUAGCCAGAAAUAAUGAGCCAUUCCUGAAAGACAGAAGACAGAUCAAAUCAGAGUAAUGAAUACAAAUCACAUCCAGGAGAGGCAGUUGCAUGGAGUGGGGAUGACUCCUUAAAUCAGAUGAAGAGGAUAUUGGGAGCUUGUGCAGACCAGGGUGGUUCUGGGCCACGAUCAGAGCUGGUGGGACAUCACAGUAGGACCGUCAGGCAGGUGCUCUCAUUCACACGCACACAAACACACAUGCACACAAACACAAACACAUGCACACACACACACAUGCACAUGCAUGCCAAACAGUAGGCACAGCAAGCCCCAGAGGCGUCCAUACCCAGUGUUUGCACAGAGAAAGAGAGCAAUGUUUCUGGUGGUUGGCCUCACCCAGAAGGAGGGGAAGCAUCUUGUCCAGAAGACUCCACUGACUCACCUGCCCGGCCCCAUGUCCUGCCCUACUGCCAGACGCAGUGCAUUCUCAGACACACCUUCUGGGCCUCUCAAAUCAGAAAGGAAUACACAAUCAUAAACCAGGAAAGAUUUGAAGAAAACCCUUACUGUGACAGAGAGGAUGAAUUACAACUAAGAAAAGAACUAACCUUCAAAAAUGAAAGUCAUCAAAACCCAGCAGGUGGGCUGACCAGCAGAUAGACACAGCAUAAGAUAGACUUAGCAAAGAGGUAGAGUAGAGAAACUCCUCCAGAAAAAAUAACAGGAUAAAGAGAUUAAACGUAUGACAAAAACAUGGAGGGUACAUCCAGAAGAAAGAGAAUCUAAGAGAGGAACUCACUAAAGAAAUGAUAGAAGAAAAUUUCCUAUAGCUGAGGAAAUGCACGUGUCCUUGAAUGAAAGGACCAACCUGGACAUAUUAUGGUAAAAGUUCAUAAUGCCUAAAAACAAAGUACCUAAAAUUAACAAGAAUCAAAUUACUAUCUGACUUCCUGUCAACAAACAAAUUUCAAGAAGCAAUGGAGGCAGUAACAUCAGCAGAAAUGACAGAGCAAGGACCUCUGGAAAUCUUCCCCUCUAUAUAAAUACCAUAAGAACACCAAAAAUUGUCAAAACCAACUUUUUCAGAACCUGGUAAUUAACCAAAGGCUUGCAAUAAUCUGGGGAGUAUUUAUUUAAGAAAAUGAUUAAGGCCAGGCGUGGUGGCUCACACCUGUAAUCCCAGCACUUUGGGAAGCUGAG